AAUAAUUUAUUAUAAAUUUAUUAUAUUUAAUUUCCAAUUAAAAGAUCUAUUUAAAUAGAAUUAUUA
rnacentral:tRNA from 1 species